GACGAACGCUGGCGGCGUGCUUAACACAUGCAAGUCGAACGGAAAGGCCCUGCUUUUGUGGGGUGCUCGAGUGGCGAACGGGUGAGUAACACGUGAGUAACCUGCCCUUGACUUUGGGAUAACUUCAGGAAACUGGGGCUAAUACCGGAUAGGAGCUCCUGCUGCAUGGUGGGGGUUGGAAAGUUUCGGCGGUUGGGGAUGGACUCGCGGCUUAUCCGCUUGUUGGUGGGGUAGUGGCUUACCAAGGCUUUGACGGGUAGCCGGCCUGGGAGGGUGACCGGCCACAUUGGGACUGGGAUACGGCCCAGACUCCUACGGGAGGCAGCAGUGGGGAAUAGAGCACAAUGGGCGGAAGCCUGAUGCAGUAACGCCGCGUGCGGGAUGACGGCCUUCGGGUUGUAAACCGCUUUCGCCUGUGACGGAGCGUGAGUGACGGUAAUGGGUAAAGAAGCACCGGCUAACUACGU
rnacentral:rRNA from 1 species